rnacentral:misc_RNA from 1 species
ACACCUCAACUCUCAUGGUUUGCCAUGAUGAGCUUGGACUUUGGAGGUUUUGCUGGCCUUUGGUCGGCUCCUCUCAAACGGAUCAGCUUUCCAGUGUUUGGUGGCGUCACGGGUGUGAUAACUAUCUACGCCUGUGGUUUUCUGCCAGAUAACCUUCAGCGAUGGAGGUUCGCUGGGGCUCAUAAAUGUCUCUCUUCAGUGGAGACAGCUUUUUGGAC